rnacentral:rRNA from 1 species
ACACAUGCAAGUCGAACGGCAGCACGGGAGCAAUCCUGGUGGCGAGUGGCGAACGGGUGAGUAAUACAUCGGAACGUGCCCAAUCGUGGGGGAUAACGCAGCGAAAGCUGUGCUAAUACCGCAUGAGAUCUACGGAUGAAAGCAGGGGACCGCAAGGCCUUGCGCGAAUGGAGCGGCCGAUGGCAGAUUAGGUAGUUGGUGAGGUAAAGGCUCACCAAGCCUGCGAUCUGUAGCUGGUCUGAGAGGACGACCAGCCACACUGGGACUGAGACACGGCCCAGACUCCUACGGGAGGCAGCAGUGGGGAAUUUUGGACAAUGGGCGCAAGCCUGAUCCAGCCAUGCCGCGUGCAGGAUGAAGGCCUUCGGGUUGUAGACUGCUUUUGUACGGAACGAAAAGGCUUUCUCUAAUAAAGAGGGCUCAUGACGGUACCGUAAGAAUAAGCACCGGCUAACUACGUGCCAGCAGCCGCGGUGAUACGUAGGGUGCAAGCGUUAAUCGGAAUUACUGGGCGUAAAGCGUGCGCAGGCGGUGAUGUAAGACAGUUGUGAAAUCCCCGGGCUCAACCUGGGAACUGCAUCUGUGACUGCAUCGCUGGAGUGCGGCAGAGGGGGAUGGAAUUCCGCGUGUAGCAGUGAAAUGCGUAGAUAUGCGGAGGAACACCGAUGGCGAAGGCAAUCCCCUGGGCCUGCACUGACGCUCAUGCACGAAAGCGUGGGGAGCAAACAGGAUUAGAUACCCUGGUAGUCCACGCCCUAAACGAUGUCAACUGGUUGUUGGGUCUUCACUGACUCAGUAACGAAGCUAACGCGUGAAGUUGACCGCCUGGGGAGUACGGCCGCAAGGUUGAA